rnacentral:rRNA from 1 species
UAAUACGGAGGAUUCGAGCGUUAUCCGGAUUUAUUGGGUUUAAAGGGUGCGUAGGCGGGUUUGUAAGUCAGUGGUGAAAGUUUCCGGCUUAACCGGGAGAAUGCCGUUGAGACUGCAAAUCUUGAGUGCAAGCGAGGUAAGUGGAAUGUGUUGUGUAGCGGUGAAAUGCAUAGAUAUAACACAGAACACCGAUUGCGAAGGCAGCUUACUAGUAUGUAACUGACGCUGAGGCACGAAAGCGUGGGGAGCAAACAGG